GGUCCGUUGGUCAAGGGGUUAAGACACCGCCUUUUCACGGCGGCAACACGGGUUCGAAUCCCGUACGGACUA
rnacentral:tRNA from 1 species